UGGUAGCUUGCGGGAGCCAGUCGAACCCACCUGAUGGGUCAGGGAAUCCGGUGCGAAUCCGGAACUGACGCGCAGCGGUGAGGGGGACGGGCGGGACACGGGCCACUGGCGGCACAAGCCGUCCGGGAAGGCGUCCCGUCCGGUCGAACCCGAGUCCGAAGACCUGCUGGCACCCGCGCCGCGUAC
rnacentral:ncRNA from 13 species